UCGUGUCGUGAGAUGUUGGGUUAAGUCCCGCAACGAGCGCAACCCUCACCUCUUGUUGCCACCAGGUCAUGCUGGCACUCUAGAGGAACUGCCCCGGUCAACGGGGAGGAAGGCGGGGAUGACGUCAAGUCAUCAUGCCCCUUACGUCCUGGGCUACACACGUGCUACAAUGGCCGGUACAAAGGGAUGCCACACCGCGAGGUAGAGCUAAACCCAAAAAGCCGGUCUAAGUUCAGAUUGGAGUCUGCAACUCGACUCCAUGAAGGAGGAAUCGCUAGUAAUCGC
rnacentral:rRNA from 1 species